rnacentral:rRNA from 1 species
UUAAUACCAGAUACUCCCUACGGGGGAAAGAUUUAUCGCUAAGAGAUCAGCUUAUGUCCUAUCAGCUUGUUGGUAAGGUAAUGGCUUACCAAGGCUAUGACGGGUAUCCGGCCUGAGAGGGUGAACGGACACACUGGAACUGAGACACGGUCCAGACUCCUACGGGAGGCAGCAGUAGGGAAUAUUGCUCAAUGGGGGAAACCCUGAAGCAGCAACGCCGCGUGGAGGAUGAAGGUUUUAGGAUUGUAAACUCCUUUUGUUAGAGAAGAUAAUGACGGUAUCUAACGAAUAAGCACCGGCUAACUCCGUGCCAGCAGCCGCGGUAAUACGGAGGGUGCAAGCGUUACUCGGAAUCACUGGGCGUAAAGAGCGCGUAGGCGGGAUAGUCAGUCAGGUGUGAAAUCCUAUGGCUUAACCAUAGAACUGCAUUUGAAACUACUAUUCUAGAGUGUGGGAGAGGUAGGUGGAAUUCUUGGUGUAGGGGUAAAAUCCGUAGAGAUCAAGAGGAAUACUCAUUGCGAAGGCGACCUGCUGGAACAUUACUGACGCUGAUUGCGCGAAAGCGUGGGGAGCAAACAGGAUUAGAUACCCUGGUAGUCCACGCCCUAAACGAUGGAUGCUAGUUGUUGGAGGGCUUAGUCUCUCCAGUAAUGCAGCUAACGCAUUAAGCAUCCCGCCUGGGGAGUACGGUCGCAAGAUUAAAACUCAAAGGAAUAGACGGGGACCCGCACAAGCGGUGGAGCAUGUGGUUUAAUUCGAAGAUACACGAAGAACCUUACCUAGGCUUGACAUUGAGAGAAUCCGCUAGAAAUAGUGGAGUGUCUGGCUUGCUAGACCUUGAAAACAGGUGCUGCACGGCUGUCGUCAGCUCGUGUCGUGAGAUGUUGGGUUAAGUCCCGCAACGAGCGCAACCCCCUUUCUUAGUUGCUAACAGGUCAUGCUGAGAACUCUAAGGA